UUGGCGAACGGGUGAGUAACACGUGAGUAACCUGCCCUUAACUCUGGGAUAAGCCUGGGAAACUGGGUCUAAUACCGGAUAGGAGCGUCCACCGCAUGGUGGGUGUUGGAAAGAUUUAUCGGUUUUGGAUGGACUCGCGGCCUAUCAGCUUGUUGGUGAGGUAAUGGCUCACCAAGGCGACGACGGGUAGCCGGCCUGAGAGGGUGACCGGCCACACUGGGACUGAGACACGGCCCAGACUCCUACGGGAGGCAGCAGUGGGGAAUAUUGCACAAUGGGCGCAAGCCUGAUGCAGCGACGCCGCGUGAGGGAUGACGGCCUUCGGGUUGUAAACCUCUUUCAGUAGGGAAGAAGCGAAAGUGACGGUACCUGCAGAAGAAGCACCGGCUAACUACGUGCCAGCAGCCGCGGUAAUACGUAGGGUGCGAGCGUUAUCCGGAAUUAUUGGGCGUAAAGAGCUCGUAGGCGGUUUGUCGCGUCUGUCGUGAAAGUCCGGGGCUUAACCCCGGAUCUGCGGUGGGUACGGGCAGACUAGAGUGCAGUAGGGGAGACUGGAAUUCCUGGUGUAGCGGUGGAAUGCGCAGAUAUCAGGAGGAACACCGAUGGCGAAGGCAGGUCUCUGGGCUGUAACUGACGCUGAGGAGCGAAAGCAUGGGGAGCGAACAGGAUUAGAUACCCUGGUAGUCCAUGCCGUAAACGUUGGGCACUAGGUGUGGGGACCAUUCCACGGUUUCCGCGCCGCAGCUAACGCAUUAAGUGCCCCGCCUGGGGAGUACGGCCGCAAGGCUAAAACUCAAAGGAAUUGACGGGGGCCCGCACAAGCGGCGGAGCAUGCGGAUUAAUUCGAUGCAACGCGAAGAACCUUACCAAGGCUUGACAUGUUCUCGAUCGCCGUAGAGAUACGGUUUCCCCUUUGGGGCGGGUUCACAGGUGGUGCAUGGUUGUCGUCAGCUCGUGUCGUGAGAUGUUGGGUUAAGUCCCGCAACGAGCGCAACCCUCGUUCCAUGUUGCCAGCACGUAAUGGUGGGGACUCAUGGGAGACUGCCGGGGUCAACUCGGAGGAAGGUGAGGACGACGUCAAAUCAUCAUGCCCCUUAUGUCUUGGGCUUCACGCAUGCUACAAUGGCCGGUACAAUGGGUUGCGAUACUGUGAGGUGGAGCUAAUCCCAAAAAGCCGGUCUCAGUUCGGAUUGGGGUCUGCAACUCGACCCCAUGAAGUCGGAGUCGCUAGUAAUCGCAGAUCAGCAACGCUGCGGUGAAUACGUUCCCGGUCCUUGUACACACCGCCCCUCAAGUUAGG
rnacentral:rRNA from 1 species